rnacentral:lncRNA from 1 species
CGGGCCCGGGCCCGGCCCCUUUCCCGAUCUCCGUCACCGAGACCAUUGCCGUCCCUAUCCCGUCCUUAUCCCCAUCCCAGUCCUGUCCCCGUCCCCUUCCCCUUCCCCAUCCUGUCUCCACCCCCAUCCCAGUCCCCAUCUCCGUGCACAUCCCUGUUCCUAUGCCCAUCCCUGUUCCUAUCCCUGUGCCUAGUCCUGUCCUGGUCCCUAUCCCCGUCCCUGCCUCCAUGCCUGUCCUUGUCUCCUUCCUCAUCUCCUUCCCCUCCCAGUCCCCAUCCCCAUCUCAGUCCCCAUCCCAGUCCCCAUCCCCAUCCCUGUUCCCGUCCCCAUCCCAGGGGCUCCUCCGCGGGCCAUGGGAUCUGUCCCGAGGCCCUCAGGCUCCCGGCUCGGCCGGGGCCCAGCUGAACAAGGUACAGCAACCUGGGACAGGGGUACAAGGUGAAAAUAUUGUCCUCUGGCACCUCAUUUCCUCCGUGGUGCCUGUGUAUGACAGAGCACUUUCCAUCCACGCUUCCGAAAUCUUCAGCUCAAGUAACAAAGACUGGUGA